rnacentral:rRNA from 1 species
UUGAACGCUGGCGGCAUGCCUUACACAUGCAAGUCGAACGGCAGCGCGGACUUCGGUCUGGCGGCGAGUGGCGAACGGGUGAGUAAUACAUCGGAACGUACCCUGUUGUGGGGGAUAACUAGUCGAAAGAUUAGCUAAUACCGCAUACGACCUGAGGGUGAAAGUGGGGGACCGCAAGGCCUCACGCAGCAGGAGCGGCCGAUGUCUGAUUAGCUAGUUGGUGGGGUAAAGGCCCACCAAGGCGACGAUCAGUAGCUAGUCUGAGAGGACGAUCAGCCACACUGGGACUGAGACACGGCCCAGACUCCUACGGGAGGCAGCAGUGGGGAAUUUUGGACUAUGGGGGCAACCCUGAUCCAGCAAUGCCGCGUGUGUGAAGAAGGCCUUCGGGUUGUAAAGCACUUUUGUCCGGAAAGAAAUCGCGCUGGUUAAUACCUGGCGUGGAUGACGGUACCGGAAGAAUAAGCACCGGCUAACUACGUG